ensembl:rRNA 5S_rRNA 5S ribosomal RNA
CUCUACGGCCAUGCCACUCUGAAUGUGCCCGAUCAGAGCUCAUCUGAUCUCGGAAGCUAAGCAAGGUCGGGCCUGGUUAGUACUUGGAUGGGAAGAAAAAUCCUCCCAUGGUCUCCCUGCUGG